rnacentral:misc_RNA from 1 species
GCGGCAGAUGUGUAUAAGAGACAGGUGAGUCAUCGAAUCUUUGAACGCACAUUGCGCCCUUUGGCAUUCCGAAGGGCAUGCCCGUUCGAGCGUCAUUUCACCACUCAAGCCUGGCUUGGUAUUGGGCGACGGAGUUCCUCCGCGCCUCUAAUCGAUCGGCUGGACGGUUCGAAUCUCAGCGUUGUGGUUUCAUCAAAUCGCUGGCGAGGACGACCGGGCGCGCCGUUAAAACUUCACACAAGGUUGACCUCGGAUCGGGUAGGGAUACCCGCUGAACUUAAGCAUAUCAAUAAGCGGAGG